CCAGUUUCCAUACAAUCACUGAAGUUAAGCAAUGUCAAGCCUGGUGAGUACCUAGAUGAGUGACCACUUGAGAAUACCGGGUGCUGUAAG